AGUGAAACUACUGUGGGUGAUGUUCAGGUUGCUUGUGUUUUUUACAGGACCUUCUCCAGUCUGGGUCAAAGUUGUCCCAGCUGUCCUGAUUCCCCUGGUUCUCUUGGCUGCUGCUGUUGCUGUCUUCAUGAGCCUUGUAUAUAAAAGGAUGAAGAAAACUGCAGAUUUUUGGCACGCCUUUCCUGAAACAGUCUUCCCACAGAUCUCUAUCCCCUCCCAGUCUUCCGUGCAAUAGUUUGCCAGCUCAAAGCAGUGGACGUGACAGAGGGUGCAGAAAGUGUCCUGCUGCCCUUUGAAUCCAAAAAAUGUAAGAGAGAGGACAUCAUAGUGGAGUGGAAACGUAUCCAAGAUAAAGAAGUCAAGGCAAUCGUAUAUGAGCAGGGUCGGACACAGCAUCAUAAAAACAACAAAUCGUUCCGACGCAGCACAGAGAUGAAGAAAGACCCACGGACUACAGGA